AAAAAUUGAAUUGAAAAUGAGUAGAAAAUAAAAGAAAAGAAAAAUGAAGAAAAUUGGAAUUAUGACAUCAAAAUAAUGUCAUUUAAAUUUUUUCCACCAAUCACCAUUUAACAAAUUUAUUUAAGAGAUAAAAUUAGAGAUAAAUUCACAAAAUUUUAGCUCAUCUUCUCACUUUCUCUCCCUCAAGUAGCCGGCCAUCCAUUAAUUCCUCCAUUUUCAUCAAGCUUUGAGCUUGAUUUUCCUUAAGUUUUUCACCCCAAAACUCUACACAUCCUUCACAAAAAUUAAUCCCCACAUCAAGAGUAACAUUUUGAUUUUCAUAAAGUGAAGAAAAUUCAAAGUUUUAACAAGCCAAGAAAGUGGUUAAAAGUGGUUAAAAGAGGUUAGUGCUAUUUUCUUCCAUAUUCUUUUAGUAAACUUAAAUUUGAGCAUGAAAAUGGAAAGAAUUACAUUAAAAAAAUUGAGAAAUUAUUCAUGUUUGAUGGAAGAAGAAUUUUGAUCAGCAUGUGUACCUAUGGGAAUUGAUGAAUUUAAAUGAAAUAAAAUGUGUUUAUUGGAGUUGCUUGUAGGUAUUUGUGAUUGGAUGUGUUAGAUGGCAUAGAUAGCAUGAAAUGGACACUUUGGGAAUUAGGAUUUGUGAAAAAUUAGAGUUUUGCUUAUGUAAUAGUAUAUUAACAUUGUAAUGGUCAAUUAGUUACCAUUUGAGUGCGUGUAAGGAGGAAUUGAAGUGAGUAAGG
rnacentral:misc_RNA from 1 species